UUUACCAACGCAGCCUCGAUAGUUUACAAUUACAAUACCGAUUGCUGAUUGGUCCCCACAUUUCCUGACUUUGCCCCGCACCCUUUGAGGCUGUUGCCCUUUCUGUACUUGCCCGAGGAAUUAUUUAUUUCUCUUCAUCUGUAAGUGCAGUGGUUGCAGACUGACUGACAUUUUGAAACAAGAUCAUUCAUUGGGCCAUAUGAAUAAAACUGAAGCACGAGCUUGGAGCAAAAGGUAGAAGUAAGAGCAUUCACUUGGAAGCAAAAGGUAAAAGCAGAAGCAUUAGCUUCUUAUUGUAAGAAUAACCUUUUUCUUUUCAUCUCUACCUUUUACUUCUAACACAGUUGCAAAAGCUCCUAGCCACCUGCUUGGUACGCAUUGUCAGCAAUCCAUUGUUGAGCAAGAGCAGGCUUCAUCACUGUUUCCUUUGCUGUGCGACUGAAUUUCGCUUCAUAUAUUUUAAGUGAGUACUGUCACUUAUCGACUGAAGCUGUCCGAUUCAGAUGAAAGCUCGAUAUGUGCAGAAAGUACAAUGUUUUUAGUCACGGCUUUAGAAAAUCAUCCUGAGCUAUUAGAGAAGUCACAACUUCCAGAAGGAAAAAGAAAGAAAGAAGAAGCAAUCCUAAAUGUUAUACAUUCAUUUGAAACAUAUCAAAUUGACAGGAAACAGUUGCUAAAGAAAGUCAGUAACAUGAAAAUGAGACAAAGGGAAAACGGAUAAGAACAGAAAGGAACCGAUUGUUUUAAAUAUUUGGGAGAAAAAGCUGUACUGCUUGCUACAAGGAGAUGGGAAUCCUACAAUGAACCAGAUACCAGGGGCAGUGACACUAGGGGUUGCACCGUCCAUUCUACACAAUCGCCAGUAGAGCACUCCAACUCAUCUGAUGUCACACCUCGUGCUGGCCCACCAUCCUCUUCGUCUAGACCAAGUCCAUAUGCCAGGCCACCACCCUUGAAGGAAGGAGCAUUGCCAGAAACAGACGAGACGAAGAUGCUCAGUAACGCAGAAUUACAUAGGCUGGUGCUGCUGGAGCAACUGAAGCUCACGACUGCAAAUGGAAAAAGAAUUUACGUUAAUGGACUUCCUUAAUAUAAAGAUGAAUAAUGUAAAAAAAUUUGCGACAGGAGGAGAUGAAAAUAGUUUUAAUUUACAUAUCAUUCUGUAGACUGUUAGUCCUUUUGUUGUAGGCAAUCAGUAGUUUUGUAUCUUUUCGUAAAUAAAAAAUUCUAAAUCCUGCAUUUCUAUUAGAGCUGCAAUUUCUUGUCUUCUUUGACGUCCUCUCCGAAGAAUAUCCACUUCAGUUAAAGGCUCCUCCUCAUCGUUAUCACUAUCGUCAUGUAAAUCCUGUGCCGUGUCUUCAAAAUCUUCAUCUUGUAGAUGUUUCGCAACAUUAUGCAGUAUAAAGCAGCAAGCUAUUAUUGUUCGAACAUUUAGUAAGGCGACUCUACACAUAUACUGCAAAAUAGGAAACGGCCUCUUCAGCUGACCAAAGCAACGCUCUAUCACAA